rnacentral:rRNA from 1 species
CACGUAGGGGGCGAGCGUUGUCCGGAAUUACUGGGCGUAAAGCGCGCGUAGGCGGUGAUUCAAGUCGGAUGUAAAAGGCACGGGCUUAACCUGUGUAUGCAUCCGAAACUGAGUAACUGGAGGAGUAGAGAGGCAAGUGGAAUUCCCUGUGUAGCGGUGAAAUGCGUAGAUAUAGGGAAGAACACCAGUGGCGAAGGCGACUUGCUAGCUACAUCCUGACGCUGAGGUGCGAAAGCCAGGGGAGCGAACC